GUGCUCACUUUGGCAGCACAUAUAACUAAAAUUGGAAUGCUGCAGAGAAGAUUAGCAUGGCC
rnacentral:snRNA from 1 species